AGCAGCAGCCGCGGUAAUACGUAGGUGGCAAGCGUUGCCCGGAAUUAUUGGGCGUAAAGGGCUCGCAGGCGGUUUCUUAAGUCUGAUGUGAAAGCCCCCGGCUCAACCGGGGAGGGUCAUUGGAAACUGGGAAACUUGAGUGCAGAAGAGGAGAGUGGAAUUCCACGUGUAGCGGUGAAAUGCGUAGAGAUGUGGAGGAACACCAGUGGCGAAGGCGACUCUCUGGUCUGUAACUGACGCUGAGGAGCGAAAGCGUGGGGAGCGAACAGGAUUAGAUACCCGAGUAGUCCCUGUCUCUUAUAC
rnacentral:rRNA from 1 species